CGGGUGUAAGAGAGAGAGGGUUGAAUUGGCUGAUGCCCCAGCCAGCUCAACAGCUGUCUUUUCACUCAGCUGCGGUGCUCUUUACUCGCCCCGUCUCACUCAUGCGCACCUACAACCCGGCCGGCGUUGCUGCUGCUGCCGCUCUCUCUCUCUCUAUCUCUCUCUGUGCGGUGUAAUUGAGUGGCUGUGUUGGUGAGCCGUGCAUACGUGACUUUUGAAAAAGCCAAAAGGAAAAAAAGAGAAAAGCCGGAAAGGACGGAACAGGAGCAAAGGACGGCAGCGAUGAAAAUGUUCUCCCGCAAGGAAGAAAUACACGUACACCAAAUCAACCCCCAUCCCCACCCCUCUACUAACAACAAAAAACCCAUAUUACUGUGCUGCCGACGCCGACGUCGAUGGCAUCUCGAUGCCGGCAGCGGAGAAGCUGAAGCUGAAGCUGAAAUUUUCCACUGCACUCGCCUUGCACUUCAAAACCGAAACUCUAUAGCCCAAUACCCAGUUGCAAGUUGCAACUUGCAACAUGCAGCAAGGCAACAUCGGCUGUUGCCAGGCAGUUGCAAAUAAAAACAAAAACUAAAAGAUACUCAGAUACAAGAUACGAAGUAUACGAACUGGCAGAAUUUCCACAGAAAGAAGCAAAAUGCAAAUUUGUUUUUUUUUUUGCCCAACUCUGUCGAUUUUCAAGGCGAUUUUCAGCGCUGAGCUAGUUCAGAGGCCCCCCCA